rfam:marine actinobacterium PHSC20C1 scf_1099646003201 genomic scaffold, whole genome shotgun sequence.
CACGCGGCAAUUUUGAUUCCCCCCAAUCAAUUGCCGCGGUGGCGGUGCCUAUUCCCCCCAAUGGGCGCCGCCCCUC